rnacentral:rRNA from 1 species
GGAGGAAAAGAAACUAACUAGGAUUCCCUUAGUAACGGCGAGUGAACCGGGAUGAGCUCAAAUUUGAAAUCUGGCGUCUUUCAGGCGUCCGAGUUGUAAUCUAUAGAGGCGUUUUCCGCGCCGGACCGCGUCCAAGUCUCUUGGAAUAGAGUAUCAAAGAGGGUGACAAUCCCGUACUUGACGCGACAACCGGUGCUCUGUGAUACGUUCUCAAUGAGUCGAGUUGUUUGGGAAUGCAGCUCUAAAUGGGUGGUAAAUUCCAUCUAAGGCUAAAUAUUGGCGAGAGACCGAUAGCGAACAAGUACCGUGAGGGAAAGAUGAAAAGCACUUUGGAAAGAGAGUUAAACAGCACGUGAAAUUGUUAAAAGGGAAACGAUUGAAGUCAGUCGUGUGGGAAGUAUUCAGCCGUCUCUGGCGGUGUAUUUGCUUCUCACGGGUCAACAUCAGUUUGAUCCGGUAGAAAAAGGCGGGAAGAAGGUGGCACCCUCGGGUGUGUUAUAGCUUCCUGUCAUAUGUGCCGGACCAGACUGAGGAACGCAGCUUGCAGCAAUGCCGGGGUUCGCCCACGUACAAGCUUAGGAUGUUGACAUAAUGGCUUUAAACGACCCGUC